GCCCUACUCUCACCGGCUUAUCAAACCCAUUUUUUCGGUUCUUCUCUGUAGAUCUUAAUUUCAACGUAUGUAAAUCGAUUUUCCAUAUUGAUUUUGGUAUUUCUAUUCUUCUCAAUCGGGUUUUCUCUUCUUUUUUUCCUCGGCUGUUUUUUUAUUCUUCUCAAUCGCCUCUGUAUAACUUUAACAAAUCUAGGGUUUAAUUGUGAUGAAGAUAAAGAAUAUAGGUCAUGCUAAUGUUUGGAGUUCCCAUCGUUGUUGGUGAUUUAGAUCUUAGAAUCGACUGUGAAUGAAACUAAUGAUCCUGGGGUUUUGAGAUGAUAUUAUUCAGGUAGCUAAUAGAUCGAUCUUGUGGUUCUUUUCAAAAUCUAUGCUACUAGAUCGAUCUUCUUCAGAUAGCUAUGAUUGAACUCCAUUCAGGGUUCUGGUAAUAAUGGUGUGUUCGUGGACGUGGUGGUGAGGAGACAGAAGAUUAAAAGCCUGAAAGAAAAUAAAGGGGUAAAAUUCUUACAGAAGAUUAAAAGCCUAAAAGAAAAUAAAGGGCCAAGUUUUGAAUAUGUAAAGGCGAAAGUGUACCUCAUAUCUGCACUUAGUCAAUGUACUGCUUUAGACAGAGGAUGAUGGUUCACUGAAUCGGGAACACAACUAUGGUGCCAAAAAUGAAUGUAAUACAUAACUGGAAAGGAAGUUUGUGGAAAGCGGAAGGAAUAUUGUCCUAUAUGUAGCAAUAUCUGGUUGCCUGAACGAAUUAAACAUGAUAUCAUAUUUCAUGGGACUUCAGAUAGUAUUGUAGGAUCUUAUAGUCCGUCUUACGAGUAGUGAAGUUCACGAUAUGCUAGAGGCGUUGUUUGUUUGAGGAAAUAAGCAUUGAUUCUAAAUCAUGCAGCUGUGUCCCUUCUUGUUUGUAGAAGAUGACAACGGAGGAGUAUGAGAAUGUACUUGAAUAGGAGAGAAAAGUUUUGGUUGCGGUGAAGCCUGGCGAAAGGUAAGUUGAGUUAGACAAGGUGGUUGAUUCAUUCACUUCUUGAUGCUAUCAGGAACUAGCUGAAAGUGGACUAUAGAUAUUCAAUCACAAUGUUUUCUCGAGUUCGAUACCUUCAUGGAUGCCGUCACUUCCCGAUGGUCUCAUGAGGCUAACUAAUGUCAUGGUUAAUGGUAAGAUCGCUGUUCCUGCUGGAUAGGGAAAUGUGGGAAAGGGUUGAGUCUACAGUUUCGCUCUCAAGCAAGCUGGUGCCAAGGUCUUAAUGACUGAAAUGGUUGUUUAAUUUCUUAGGACUUGUAUCACUUAAGAAACCUUAAUAAUUAGAAGUUCUUUUUAAUGAUUUUGGACUAAAUUUAUGAGUACAGUUCAAUGUAGUGGUAAAUCGGGUUUUAUAUGAAAUUUUAAUUUUAAUUUUAAUUUCA